UAAAGCGUGCGCAGGCGGUUCGGAAAGAAGGAUGUGAAAUCCCAGGGCUUAACCUUGGAACUGCAUUCUUAACUACCGGGCUAGAGUAUGUCAGAGGGGGGUGGAAUUCCGCGUGUAGCAGUGAAAUGCGUAGAUAUGCGGAGGAACACCGAUGGCGAAGGCAGCCCCCUGGGAUAAUACUGACGCUCAUGCACGAAAGCGUGGGGAGCAAACAGGAUUAGAUCCCUUGU
rnacentral:rRNA from 1 species